rnacentral:rRNA from 1 species
GGGUUGUGAGGUUAAGCGACUAAGCGUACACGGUGGAUGCCCUGGCAGUCAGAGGCGAUGAAGGGCGUACUAAUCUGCGAUAAGCGCCGGUAAGGUGAUAUGAACCGUUAUAACCGGCGAUACCCGAAUGGGGAAACCCAGUGUGAUUCGUCACACUAUCAUUAACUGAAUCCAUAGGUUAAUGAGGCGAACCGGGGGAACUGAAACAUCUAAGUACCCCGAGGAAAAGAAAUCAACCGAGAUUCCCCCAGUAGCGGCGAGCGAACGGGGAGGAGCCCAGAGCCUGAAUCAGCAUGUGUGUUAGUGGAAGCGUCUGGAAAGGCGCGCGAUACAGGGUGACAGCCCCGUACACAAAAGCGCAUGUGCUGUGAGCUCGAUGAGUAGGGCGGGACACGUGGUAUCCUGUCUGAAUAUGGGGGGACCAUCCUCCAAGGCUAAAUACUCCUGACUGACCGAUAGUGAACCAGUACCGUGAGGGAAAGGCGAAAAGAACCCCGGCGAGGGGAGUGAAAAAGAACCUGAAACCGUGUACGUACAAGCAGUGGGAGCACNNNNNNNNNNNNGUGACUGCGUACCUUUUGUAUAAUGGGUCAGCGACUUAUAUUCUGUAGCAAGGUUAACCGAAUAGGGGAGCCGGAGGGAAACCGAGUCUUAAUUGGGCGUUAAGUUGCAGGGUAUAGACCCGAAACCCGGUGAUCUAGCCAUGGGCAGGUUGAAGGUUGGGUAACACUAACUGGAGGACCGAACCGACUAAUGUUGAAAAAUUAGCGGAUGACCUGUGGCUGGGGGUGAAAGGCCAAUCAAACCGGGAGAUAGCUGGUUCUCCCCGAAAGCUAUUUAGGUAGCGCCUCGUGAAUUCAUCUCCGGGGGUAGAGCACUGUUUCGGCUAGGGGGCCAUCCCGGCUUACCAACCCGAUGCAAACUGCGAAUACCGGAGAAUGUUAUCACGGGAGACACACGGCGGGUGCUAACGUCCGUCGUGAAGAGGGAAACAACCCAGACCGCCAGCUAAGGUCCCAAAGUCAUGGUUAAGUGGGAAACGAUGUGGGAAGGCCCAGACAGCCAGGAUGUUGGCUUAGAAGCAGCCAUCAUUUAAAGAAAGCGUAAUAGCUCACUGGUCGAGUCGGCCUGCGCGGAAGAUGUAACGGGGCUAAACCAUGCACCGAAGCUGCGGCAGCGACGCUUAUGCGUUGUUGGGUAGGGGAGCGUUCUGUAAGCCUGCGAAGGUGGCCUGUGAGGGUUGCUGGAGGUAUCAGAAGUGCGAAUGCUGACAUAAGUAACGAUAAAGCGGGUGAAAAGCCCGCUCGCCGGAAGACCAAGGGUUCCUGUCCAACGUUAAUCGGGGCAGGGUGAGUCGACCCCUAAGGCGAGGCCGAAAGGCGUAGUCGAUGGGAAACGGGUUAAUAUUCCCGUACUUGGUGUUACUGCGAAGGGGGGACGGAGAAGGCUAUGUUGGCCGGGCGACGGUUGUCCCGGUUUAAGCGUGUAGGUGUGUGUUCCAGGUAAAUCCGGUUCACUUUAACACUGAGGCGUGACGACGAGGCACUACGGUGCUGAAGCAACAAAUGCCCUGCUUCCAGGAAAAGCCUCUAAGCAUCAGGUAACAUCAAAUCGUACCCCAAACCGACACAGGUGGUCAGGUAGAGAAUACCAAGGCGCUUGAGAGAACUCGGGUGAAGGAACUAGGCAAAAUGGUGCCGUAACUUCGGGAGAAGGCACGCUGACACGUAGGUGAAGUGAUUUACUCAUGGAGCUGAAGUCAGUCGAAGAUACCAGCUGGCUGCAACUGUUUAUUAAAAACACAGCACUGUGCAAACACGAAAGUGGACGUAUACGGUGUGACGCCUGCCCGGUGCCGGAAGGUUAAUUGAUGGGGUCAGCGCAAGCGAAGCUCCUGAUCGAAGCCCCGGUAAACGGCGGCCGUAACUAUAACGGUCCUAAGGUAGCGAAAUUCCUUGUCGGGUAAGUUCCGACCUGCACGAAUGGCGUAAUGAUGGCCAGGCUGUCUCCACCCGAGACUCAGUGAAAUUGAACUCGCUGUGAAGAUGCAGUGUACCCGCGGCAAGACGGAAAGACCCCGUGAACCUUUACUAUAGCUUGACACUGAACAUUGAGCCUUGAUGUGUAGGAUAGGUGGGAGGCUUUGAAGUGUGGACGCCAGUCUGCAUGGAGCCGACCUUGAAAUACCACCCUUUAAUGUUUGAUGUUCUAACGUGGACCCGUUACCCGGGUUGCGGACAGUGUCUGGUGGGUAGUUUGACUGGGGCGGUCUCCUCCUAAAGAGUAACGGAGGAGCACGAAGGUUGGCUAAUCCUGGUCGGACAUCAGGAGGUUAGUGCAAUGGCAUAAGCCAGCUUGACUGCGAGCGUGACGGCGCGAGCAGGUGCGAAAGCAGGUCAUAGUGAUCCGGUGGUUCUGAAUGGAAGGGCCAUCGCUCAACGGAUAAAAGGUACUCCGGGGAUAACAGGCUGAUACCGCCCAAGAGUUCAUAUCGACGGCGGUGUUUGGCACCUCGAUGUCGGCUCAUCACAUCUGGGGCUGAAGUAGGUCCCAAGGGUAUGGCUGUUCGCCAUUUAAAGUGGUACGCGAGCUGGGUUUAGAACGUCGUGAGACAGUUCGGUCCCUAUCUGCCGUGGGCGCUGGAGAACUGAGGGGGGCUGCUCCUAGUACGAGAGGACCGGAGUGGACGCAUCACUGGUGUUCGGGUUGUCAUGCCAAUGGCACUGCCCGGUAGCUAAAUGCGGAAGAGAUAAGUGCUGAAAGCAUCUAAGCACGAAACUUGCCCCGAGAUGAGUUCUCCCUGAGACUUAAAGUCUCCUGAAGGAACGUUGAAGACGACGACGUUGAUAGGCCGGGUGUGUAAGCGCAGCGAUGCGUUGAGCUAACCGGUACUAAUGAACCGUGAGGCUUAACCUUACAACGCCGAAG